AUGAAAUUUAAAAUUUAAAAUUUGAAUAUUUUAAUAUUUAAAAUUUAAAAUUUAAAAUAUUUAAAAUUUAAAUUUUAUAAAUUUAAAAUUUAAAUUUUAAAAAUUUGAAAUUUAUAAUUUGAAGUUUAAAACUUGUAAUUUAAAAUUUAAAAUUUAAAAUUUUUAAAUUUUUAAUUUUAAAUUUUAAAAUCUAAAAUGUCAAAUUUUAAAUUUUAUCUUAAAUUUAAAAUUUAAAAUUUUAAAAUCUAAAAUGUGAGAUUUGAAAUAUAAAAUUAAAAUUUAAAAUUUAAAGUUUGAAAUCUAUUUUUCAAAUUUUAAAUUUUAAAAGUUAAAAUUUAAAAAUUCAAAAAUGAAUCUAAAAAUUAAAAAUUAAAAUUAUAUUUAAGUUUAAACAUUGAAUUUAAAAUAAAAAUAAAAAUUUGAACUUUGAGUCCAAAAUCAGAAUCGGAUUUCAAGAAGCAGCUUUUUUCUGCUUCUGAUUCUGGACCUUCAAAAUCAGUUUUAUAAUUCUGAAAAGCAAAAUUAGGUUUGAAAAAUGAGGUUGCCAAGCGCUCUUUUGAGCCAAAAAUAAUUUUUCAAUCCACAAGCACUUUUUAAAAGCUAGGCCAAACACCCCUAA
rnacentral:lncRNA from 1 species